AGCCUUGUUCUGGUGCAGUGGUUUGAGCGUUGGACUAUGACUUUGGAAACCAGGGUUCGAAUCCCAGCUAGGCUA